rnacentral:rRNA from 1 species
GCAAUGCCCGAAAGGGUGACGAAGCGACGCCGCGUGCGGGAAGAAGGCCUUCGGGUUGUAAACCGCUGUCGGGAGUUAAGAAAUGUAAGGAUGUUAAUAGCAUCUUUGCUUGACUAAGGCUCCGGAGGAAGCCACGGCUAACUCUGUGCCAGCAGCCGCGGUAAUACAGAGGCGGCAAGCGUUGUUCGGAAUUAUUGGGCGUAAAGAGCACGUAGGCGGCUAUGUAAGUCGGUUGUGAAAGCCUUCCGCUCAACGGGAGAACAGCAUCCGAUACUGCAUGGCUUGAGUGCGGGAGGGGAGAGUGGAACUUCUGGUGGAGCGGUGAAAUGCGUAGAUAUCAGAAGGAACGCCGGCGGCGAAAGCGGCUCUCUGGCCCAUAACUGACGCUGAGUGUGCGAAAGCUAGGGGAGCAAACGGGAUUAGAUACCCCGGUAGUCCUAGCCGUAAACGAUGGGCACUAAGUAGAGGGGUUUU